rnacentral:rRNA from 1 species
GAUGAACGCUGGCGGCGUGCCUAAUACAUGCAAGUCGGGCGAACGGACGAGAAGCUUGCUUCUCUGAUGUUAGCGGCGGACGGGUGAGUAACACGUGGAUAACCUACCUAUAAGACUGGGAUAACUUCGGGAAACCGGAGCUAAUACCGGAUAAUAUUUUGAACCGCAUGGUUCAAAAGUGAAAGACGGUCUUGCUGUCACUUAUAGAUGGAUCCGCGCUGCAUUAGCUAGUUGGUAAGGUAACGGCUUACCAAGGCAACGAUGCAUAGCCGACCUGAGAGGGUGAUCGGCCACACUGGAACUGAGACACGGUCCAGACUCCUACGGGAGGCAGCAGUAGGGAAUCUUCCGCAAUGGGCGAAAGCCUGACGGAGCAACGCCGCGUGAGUGAUGAAGGUCUUCGGAUCGUAAAACUCUGUUAUUAGGGAAGAACAUAUGUGUAAGUAACUGUGCACAUCUUGACGGUACCUAAUCAGAAAGCCACGGCUAACUACGUG